rnacentral:rRNA from 1 species
UGGGGAAUAUUGCGCAAUGGGCGAAAGCCUGACGCAGCAACGCCGCGUGAGUGAUGAAGGCCUUCGGGUCGUAAAGCUCUGUCGGAGGGAACGAAUGCUCUUGAGGUUAACAGCCUCGGGAGGUGACGGUACCCUCAAAGGAAGCACCGGCUAACUCUGUGCCAGCAGCCGCGGUAACACGUAGGGUGCGAGCGUUAAUCGGAAUUACUGGGCGUAAAGGGUGCGCAGGCGGCCCCGCAUGUCAGGCGCGAAAUCCCCGAGCUCAACUUGGGAAUGGCGCUUGAAACUACGGGGCUGGAGUGUGGCAGAGGGAGGUGGAAUUCCACGUGUAGCGGUGAAAUGCGUAGAGAUGUGGAGGAACACCGAUGGCGAAGGCAGCCUCCUGGGCCAACACUGACGCUCAUGCACGAAAGCGUGGGGAGCAAACAGGAUUAGAUACCCCCGUAGUCCUGAGCGGGCUGGCAAGGCGCAU